GCCGGGCGCGGUGGCUCACGCCUGUAAUCCCAGUUACUCGAGAGGCUAAGGCAGGAGAAUCACUUGAAGCCGAGAGGUGGAGGUUGCAGUGAGCCAAGAUUAAGCCGCUGCACUCCAGCCUAGGNNNNNNNNNNGAGACGGAGUCUCACUCUGUCACCUAGGCUGGAGUGCAGCGGCUUAAUCUUGGCUCACUGCAACCUCCACCUCUCGGCUUCAAGUGAUUCUCCUGCCUUAG
rnacentral:SRP_RNA from 1 species